AUUGAACGCUGGCGGCAGGCCUAACACAUGCAAGUCGAGCGGAUGAAGGGAGCUUGCUCCUGGCUUCAGCGGCGGACGGGUGAGUAAUGCCUAGGAAUCUGCCUUGUAGUGGGGGAUAACGUCCGGACACGGGCGCUAAUACCGCAUACGUCCUUAUGGAGAAAGUGGGGGAUCUUCGGACCUCACGCUAUCUGCUGAGCCUAGGUCGGAUUAGCUAGUUGGUGGGGUAAAGGCCUACCAAGGCGACGAUCCGUAACUGGUCUGAGAGGAUGAUCAGUCACACUGGAACUGAGACACGGUCCAGACUCCUACGGGAGGCAGCAGUGGGGAAUAUUGGACAAUGGGCGAAAGCCUGAUCCAGCCAUGCCGCGUGUGUGAAGAAGGUCUUCGGAUUGUAAAGCACUUUAAGUUGGGAGGAAGGGCAGUAAGUUAAUACCUGGCUGUUUUGACGUUACCAACAGAAUAAGCACCGGCUAACUUCGUG
rnacentral:rRNA from 1 species